rnacentral:pre_miRNA from 1 species
GUCAUCAAAAUGGAUAAAAAGAGAUGUAUCUAAAACUAAAAUACGUCUAGAUACAUUUCCUUUUAUCCAUUUUGAUGACAAGUAUUUUCGGACGGAGGAAGUAUUUG